GGGGGAGAACAUUUUAAAUGAUUUUCUCCUUUAUGAUGCAUCUCUUUUCUUGGGGUUUCCCGAUAUCUCACCGCCCAGUCCCUUCGAUUCUGGUAACAAACAGCUUCAGAGUCAGGCUUGGCCUGAGUCUUGCUUGACAACCCCCCACCGCCCCGCCUAGGGGUUUGGGGAUGUGAGGAGGUCAAGGAAAUCUGAGCGCCUCCCCCAGCCCCAUAAUGCUGUUAAGAAGUAGGAAAAAUUAAAGCUCCCGGCCAGGCA